AGUGAACGCUGGCGGUAGGCCUAACACAUGCAAGUCGAACGGCAGCACAGUAAGAGCUUGCUCUUACGGGUGGCGAGUGGCGGACGGGUGAGGAAUACAUCGGAAUCUACUUUUUCGUGGGGGAUAACGUAGGGAAACUUACGCUAAUACCGCAUACGACCUACCGGUGAAAGCAGUGGAUCUUCGGACCUGGCGCGGUUGAAUGAGCCGGUGUCGGAUUGGCUAGUUGGCGGGGUAAAAGCCCACCAAGGCGACGAUAGGUAGCUGGUCUGAGUGGAUGGAGCGCCACAGUGAAACUGAGACACGGUCCAGGCACCGACGGGAGGCAGCAGGGGGGACGAGAGGAAAAAGUGCGCAAGCCUGAACCAGCGAUACCGCGUGGGUGAAGAAGGCCUGCGGGUGGGAAAGCGCUUUUGGGGGGAAAGAAAAGCAGCAGGUGAAAACCCCGCUGUUCUGACGGUACCCGUAGAAUAAGCACCGGCUAACUUCGG
rnacentral:rRNA from 1 species